AGGAUGAACGCUGGCGGCGUGCUUAACACAUGCAAGUCAAGGGGGCCCAGCAAUGGGUAACCGGCGAACGGGUGCGUAACACGUGAGCAACCUACCGAAUUGUGGGGGAUAGCCGGCCCAACGGCCGGGUAAUACCGCAUACGCUCGAGACGAGGCAUUUCGACUCGAGGAACCUACGGGACAUUUCGAGGGGCUCGCGGCCUAUCAGCUAGUUGGUGAGGUAACGGCUCACCAAGGCGACGACGGGUAGC
rnacentral:rRNA from 1 species